AGGUGGAGGUGGUGAGAGCACGUAAAAUAAAUUAUAAAUAGUGCAAAAUCUUGCUAGCAAAAAAAACAUAAGUGAGGUCGGACAACUGGAGUCUUUGGUUCUCUGUUGGAGAUCGUGGACCAACAGAUUCGUGACACAUAAGCUUUCAAAGAAGACCAAAAGAAAGAUUUUAACAAUUUAGGUGCCGCUAGCUCCAAAGUGG
rnacentral:lncRNA from 1 species